rnacentral:rRNA from 1 species
ACACGUAGGGGGCGAGCGUUGUCCGGAAUUACUGGGCGUAAAGGGUGCGUAGGCGGUCUGUUAAGUCAGAUGUGAAAGACCUGGGCUCAACCCGGGAUGUGCAUCUGAGACUGGCGGACUUGAGUGCAGGAGAGGGAAGUGGAAUUUCUAGUGUAGCGGUGGAAUGCGUAGAUAUUAGGAAGAACACCAGUGGCGAAGGCGGCUUCCUGGACUGUAACUGACGCUGAGGCACGAAAGCGUGGAGAGCGAACAGGAUUAGAUACCCUGGUAGUCCACGCCGUAAACGAUGGAUACUAGGUGUAGGUAUCGUGGGAUAUCUGUGCCGGAGUUAACGCAAUAAGUAUCCCGCCUGGGGAGUACGGCCGCAAGGUUGAA